AAUCAACGCUGGCGGCGUGCCUCAGACAUGCAAGUCGAACGAUUAAACUUUCCUUCGGGAAAGAUAUAAAGUGGCGCACGGGUGAGUAACACGUAAGUAAUCUACCUUCGAGUGGGGAAUAACGUCCGGAAACGGACGCUAAUACCGCAUAAUGCAGCGGCACCUUAUGGUGACAGUUGUUAAAGGAGCAAUUCGCUUGAAGAGGAGCUUGCGGCAGAUUAGCUAGUUGGAAGGUAACGGCUUACCAAGGCUACGAUCUGUAACCGGUCUAAGAGGACGGUCGGUCACACUGACACUGAAUAACGGGUCAGACUCCUACGGGAGGCAGCAGUCGGGAAUUUUGGGCAAUGGGCGAAAGCCUGACCCAGCAACGCCGCGUGAAGGAUGAAGUAUUUCGGUACGUAAACUUCGAAAGAAUGGGAAGAAUCAAUGACGGUACCAUUUAUAAGGUCCGGCUAACUACGUGCCAGCAGCCG
rnacentral:rRNA from 1 species